rnacentral:rRNA from 1 species
CCUACGGGUGACAGCAGUGAGGAAUAUUGGUCAAUGGGCGAGAGGCUGAACCAGCCAAGUCGCGUGAGGGAUGACGGCCCUACGGAUUGUAAACCUCUUUUGUCGGGGAGCAAAAGACGGCACGCGUGCCGCUCCGAGAGUACCCGAAGAAAAAGCAUCGGCUAACUCCGUGCCAGCAGCCGCGGUAAUACGGAGGAUGCGAGCGUUAUCCGGAUUUAUUGGGUUUAAAGGGUGCGCAGGCGGAAGAUCAAGUCAGCGGUAAAAUUGAGAGGCUCAACCUCUUCGAGCCGUUGAAACUGCGUUUCUUGAGUGAGUGAGAAGUAUGCGGAAUGCGUGGUGUAGCGGUGAAAUGCAUAGAUAUCACGCAGAACUCCGAUUGCGAAGGCAGCGUACCGGCGCUCAACUGACGCUCAUGCACGAAAGUGUGGGUAUCGAACAGGAUUAGAUACCCGAGUAGUC